UACAGAGGUCCCAAGCGUUGUUCGGAUUCACUGGGCGUAAAGGGUGCGUAGGUGGUGAGGUAAGUCGGAUGUGAAAGCUCGGAGCUCAACUCCGAAAUGGCAUUGGAAACUACCUUGCUCGAGGGUUGGAGGGGGGACUGGAAUGCUUGGUGUAGCAGUGAAAUGCGUAGAUAUCAAGCGGAACACCAGUGGCGAAGGCGGGUCUCUGGACAGUUCCUGACACUGAGGCACGAAGGCCAGGGGAGCAAACGGG
rnacentral:rRNA from 1 species